UGUGUCGUUUCCCGUUCCUAUUGAAAGGUGAGGAGUACAGGAGGUGCAUUAGAGUGGAAGGGGAGGACAAGGUGUGUGGGGUGACCUACGACGUGGCCCUCCCCUCGUACCUCGUUCCUUGUGAUAUGACUGGAAGCGACGAUGCCUGUUCGGCUGGGACGCCCGACUUCACGUGUGGAGGUGGGCCGCCGUGUCUGGUGUACCUGGACAUGACCUCACCUGAUAUCAACCUCACCUGGAAGUCACCUGGUGGGCCCCGGGUCACCUUAACGGACAACAAGGUGUAUGAACUUCAGGGUUGUCACGGGGAAAAGUUCUCGCUCACCUGUCCAGAGACGCAACAGGUGAGAGUGGGGAGACGCAGCUCUCUUCACCUGUCCUCCUCCUCCGCCUCGUUCACCUGUGACUUCAUGGACCGGGAUGGCCACCUCGCCUUCACCUCCUCUGCGCUGCUGCUCCUUUAUGAAAAGCAAUAUGAAGUCUACUGUUCUGACCCUUCGACUACUACUACUGUUGCUACUGCUACUUUUACUACUACUACUACUGAUAAUGUUUUGCCUACUACUACUACUGCUGCUACUACUACUACUACUGCUGCUAUGACUACUACUACUGCGGAUGGUGUUGUUUUUAAGCCCACUACUACUACU